rnacentral:lncRNA from 1 species
AAAAAUUUGCCAACAUGUGGGUUAAAAUACUAUUACACAUAUAAAUAGAAAUUCACUUAGAAUAGAAUAAACUUUUAGAAAUAAGGAGGACUCUAGGGAAUCUAAUCACAAACUGUUACUUCACUAAUGAUGAAGAUAUGACUCAGGAAGUCAAGAGAAUGUCUCAAGAUAAUAUAGAGAGGAAAUAUAAUUCCUUGGAUAGAUUGAGAGCUUAGAAGCUAGACCAUCUGAAUUUGAAUAUCUUCUCUAUCAUCAGCAAGUUAUUAAAAAACCUUUGUGCCUUAGUUUUCUUAAUAUAAUGGACAUUACAGUAGUACCUACCUCACAAGAUUAUGAGGUAGGUAAUACAUAUGUUUAUCACAAUUUCUUGCAAGCAUUCUAUCAGUUAUAGUGAUUGUAAUUAUUUGUUUUUGUAUAGUUCGUGGUAAUGAAGCUUAGAACUCAGCUCUUUUGACUACAUAUUCAGUUCUCUUUCAAAUAUAUUAUUUGUGCAUUCAUUUAGCUCUCUGUAUAACCUUCAUCAAAUUCAUAUUGUGGAUCAGGAAUUGGGUAUGAUUCCAAUAUUUGAACUCAUUCAGACUUUUCCAGGAGUAAUAUCAUAUUUUUAAAAUUUAUUCCUGUCAUUCAGAUUGUAAAAUGGCAGAAAAUAAACAGUAAAAUUCAUGUGUGUACAUGUUUUUGUAGUUUAUCCAGUUUAC